ensembl:lncRNA
GCUUUAACCCAUAUGUUUAUUGAUUUAUGUUUAUUUAUUUUCAUUAAUAGAUAGAUAGAAAGGAAUAUGCCAGAUGACUUGGAAUAUUGGGGUUGUGGCAUAUGCAUCAUAAUAUGACCAAAUUCUAAUUCAUUUAGGAAUAUUCUUGUGCAGCUAAACAUGGUCACGACGAAAGACUCCAUCCUAAAUACACUUUUGCAAUGUUAUAAAAUACACAACUUAAGCACAUACAGUGUAGUCUUCAAUUACUUUGUGUUUAUUUGUUAUAAACAAUGCUUUAAAAAACAAUUUUCUUUUUUUUUUUGCCAUCCAUACAGCAUAACCUCACUGACAGUGGCAGAUGCAGGAUGUAUAAACAAGCCACAUCAAAAGAGCGAGCAUUUCUGAGGCUGUUCCACGUGUGGUUUUCCAUACAGAACCUCACCAUUCACACAGUCUUUCCUUACAAAACCCAUAGUACAUGAUUACCAUAAUCAUAUACCAUGGCAUUUAUAGUAGUUGGCUGAACAAAAUCUAGACAGCAGUUUUAUAUAUAUAUAUACAAACCCGAUUCCAAAAAAGUUGGGACACUGUACAAAUUGUGAAUAAAAACAGAAUGCAAUGAUGUGGAAGUUUCAAAUUUCGAUCUUUUAUUCAGAAUACAACAUAGAUGACAUAUCAAAUGUUUAAACUGAGAAAAUGUAUAAUUUUAAGGGAAAAAUAAGUUGAUUUUAAAUUUCAUGGCAUCAACACGUCUCAAAAAAGUUGGGACAAGGCCAUGUUUACCACUGUGUGGCAUCCCCUCUUCUUUUUAUAACAGUCUGCAAACGUCUGGGGACUGAGGAGACAAGUUGCUCAAGUUUAGGAAUAGGAAUGUUGUCCCAUUCUUGUCUAAUACAGGCUUCUAGUUGCUCAACUGUCUUAGGUCUUCUUUGUCGCAUCUUCCUCUUUAUGAUGCGCCAAAUGUUUUCUAUGGGUGAAAGAUCUGGACUGCAGGCUGGCCAUUUCAGUACCCGGAUCCUUCUUCUACACAGCCAUGAUGUUGUAAUUGAUGCAGUAUGUGGUCUGGCAUUGUCAUGUUGGAAAAUUCAAGGUCUUCCCUGAAAGAGACGACGUCUGGAUGGGAGCAUAUGUUGUUCUAGAACUUGGAUAUACCUUUCAGCAUUGAUGGUGCCUUUCCAGAUGUGUAAGCUGCCCAUGCCACACACACUCAUGCAACCCCAUACCUAACAACUUGGGUUGUCCUUGUCCUCUUUAGUCCGGAUGACAUGGCGUCCCAGUUUUCCAAAAAGAACUCGAUUUGUCUGACCACAGAACAGUUUUUCACUUUGCCACAGUCCAUUUUAAAUGAGCCUUGGCCCAGAGAAAACACCUGCACUUCUGGAUCAUGUUUAGAUAUGGCUUCUUUUUUGACCUAUAGAGUUUUAGCUGGCAAUGGCGAAUGGCACGGUGGAUUGUGUUCACCGACGAUGUUUUCUGGAAGUAUUCCUGAGCCCAUGUUGUGAUUUCCAUUACAGUAGCAUUCCUGUAUGUGAUGCAGUGCCGUCUAAGGGCCAGAAGAUCACGGGCAUCCAGUAUGGUUUUCUGGCCUUGACCCUUACGCACAGAGAUUGUUCCAGAUUCUCUGAAUCUUUGGAUGAUAUUAUGCACUGUAGAUGAUGAUAACUUCAAACUCUUUGCAAUUUUUCUCUGAGAAACUCCUUUCUGAUAUUGCUCCACUAUUUUUCGCCGCAGCAUUGGGGGAAUUGGUGAUCCUCUGCCCAUCUUGACUUCUGAGAGACACUGUCACUCUGAGAGGCUCUUUUUAUACACAAUCAUGUUGCCAAUUGACCUAAGAAGUUGCAAAUUGGUCCUCCAGCUGUUCCUUAUAUGUACAUUUAACUUUUCCGGCCUCUUAUUGCUACCUGUCCCAACUUUUUUGGAAUGUGUAGCGCUCAUGAAAUCCAAAAUGAGCCAAUAUUUGGCAUGACAUUUCAAAAUGUCUCACUUUCAACAUUUGAUAUGUUAUCUAUAUUCUAUUGUGAAUAAAAUAUAAGUUUAUAAGAUUUGUGAAUUAUUCCAUUCCUUUUUUACUCACAAUUUGUAGUGUCCCAACUUUUUUGAAAUCGGGUUUGUAUAUAUAUAUAUAUAUAUAUAUAUAUAUAUAUACACGGAUGCAAUGUUUCCUUUCAAAUCAAAGUGUAAAUACAUGUAUAAAACGUAUCCUUGUGUCGUGGCUGACACAGAAGAGCGUAAGCUGCCUGUGUACAUCUCAGAUUCUCCAAAAUGGCGCUACGGUGAUGUGGAGAGACACAGAGGAGAAAAAUUGUUGAAUAAAAUCAUUAUUUUUGUUUUCGUCGCAUUAAAAAAGUAUUCUCGCUGCUUCAUAACGUUACAGUUGAACCACUGAUAGCAGUUUAACUAUUCUGAUGAUGCUUUUCAUACUUUUAUGGACCCUGACACUGUUAUUUACUUGGCAGUUUAUGAGACAGUCACAAGCCUCCCGGUUUUCAUCCAAAAUAUUUUAAAUCGUGUUCCGAAGACGAACGAAGCUUUUACGGCCUUGGAAUGACAAGGGGGUAAGUGAUUAAUGACAAAAUUUUAAUUUUGGGGUGGAGUAACCCUUUAAUGUAAAUAAUUUCUAUCUAUCUAUCUAUCUAUCUAUCUAUCUAAACAAUUUAACAAUAGUAAAUAAAAUGUACACCAAAAUUUUCCACAAUAUUUACUAUUAUUUCACCAAUCAGGCACAGUUACUGUCCAAUGACAAUAAUCUAAAAAUGGUGAAAUAUUAGCCGCUUAAUAGAUCUAUCAGUGCAUGUAUUUUAUUUACUUUCACUUUUAACAAAGAAAGACAUUAGAUUCCUAUUUACAACCAGAAGAAAAUACAGUAUCGAAAAAAUGAUAACAUCUAAGCUAACUGGCUUUAUUCAAGUCAAAACUAUUAAUUAAUAUCGCUGAAUCAACCUAAAUGCAUCAAUUUAUACCAACAAAACACUUUUAUGGGUUAAAUCCAGUAGAAAUAGCUCUUUAAGGUAACAAUCGCAGGUCACCACUUUUUGCAGUGUCUUGAAAACAUAAAAGAUUACAUCAUUAAUCUUAAUCAAUGACACAUAAGAGUAAUUGAUUAAAGUUUGAUUAAAUCAUGUUGGCUAAGACAACAUACAAACAGCAUGCAGCUGCCAAGCACCCUAUUUACAUGUUACUAACCUUUUAUGCCUUUGCAAUUGUACAAAUGGUAAUAUCACAACACUGUAUGCUAUUUUGUUUUUAAGGUUCAACCCAUAACCCAGUUCUUCACAAGACUGUUACAGUAUCAUAUGUGAGCCACUCGAAUUUAUUCACGUUAUGAUCACUUCUUCACACCACAACAUUUCAUGCAACUGACUCUAGCUGGUUUAUGCAUCUGUGUGCACGUGCGUGUGUGUGUGUCCAGCGCCCAUCCCCCCUCUCUCUCACACACACAGACCAAUGUUCUCGUUCUGCAACAUAAUACCAGCCCAUCCCCUGCGCAUGCGCCAACUCCCUUUUUCCUACAUCAUGUAAAUAACCAACUGCGCCACAACAACAAUAACCGCCAAAAGCGCGACAACGGCGUUCUAACCUAGCCAACCUACAAUCAAACACAUUUUAUGCGCUCGUAAUAACAUAAUAAAUGACGCCACACUGGAUCGCGCUCGUCAAAUACCUUCUCCUCCUCCUCGCGCCUCUCCGACAUCAACGUUCCAGAACAUUCGCGCUCGCGCUCGCUGCAGCGUCGGACGGAAAGGGUGACGUCACGGUGCGCAGCGUCAGCCCCCCCAUCCCAGAGAGAGAGAGAGAGGAAAAUAAUAAGGAUAAACUCUCAUACAAAAACACAUUUACGACAUGGGUUAAGCACAAAGUGAACAUAUUUCACUUCUAAAAAA